UUUUCAUUUUAGAAAAUAAAAAGUAAAAUUUUUUAUUACAAUGUUAAAAAUUUUGGUCAACUUGUUGAUAGUAGAAACGUGAAAGGAAAUAAUACUAAAAUAUUAAAUAUCUUUUUUAUAUUGUUUAGUAUUCUCCUUAUUUUGUAAACUUUACUUUUCUAAUGCUGUUUUGAUUAGGGAUGUCAGUCGGGCGGGUUUUCGCGGGUAUCCGAUUCGCCCAAACCCUAUUAGGACGGAUUUGGGUUUUUACAAAACGGAUUUGGGCGGGUUCGAAUUUGAAAAAUGCUACCCGUCUCGGAUUCGGGUAGGGUUCGGGAAUAGGUGCUCGGAUACCCGUUACCCGAACCCGAUUAGCUAUAUUAACAAAACUAAGUGAAGUAACCCUAAUCCCUAAUUCCUUUUUUCAUUUUACUCUGCUUUCCUCUCUUUGUCGGCGCCUCUCUCCCUCGCUUCCCUUCCCAUAGUUCUCAGUCACGCCUCUCCCCCACUUCACUGACGACUGCCGGCAGCCCAGUCGGCACCGGCGACGUCUCAUUUCUCUUCCCAGUCAGCGAUCUCCCCAGUCAGCGAUAUCUCCUUCUCUCUCUCCAGCGGCGACAUCUCCGACUUCCCAGUUGGAGACAACUCUUCCCUCUCCCCGGUCGGCAUCGGCGAUAUCUCCUUCUCUCUCUCCAGUCGGUGACAUCUACUCUUUUCAAUUGACGCUUCUCUCCUCCACUUCACUGAUGCUAGAGACAACCCUUCCCCUCCUCAAUCGGCGUCGGCGACAUCUCCUGGAACUCUCUUCAGGUUUACAAUUAAAUUUUUUGAUAAUCAAGAUCUUUUGUGUGUAUGUUCUUAAAAAAUUUUUAGUUGCUAUUAAAGAUUUUUAGAAUUUAGGAACUAUUUAUCUAAUUAUUUAGAUACUGUUAAAAAAUCUAAUUAUUUGCUAUUUGAUUAAUGUAAUACUGUUGAUUUUUAGAAUUUAUGGAAUUAAUCUGAUUAUAUGAUUAUAAAUCAUUAUUUGCAGGGUUGCUGAGUUGCUGAGUUGCUGGUUCUUGUUAUUGAACACACUGCUGGGUCUGCUGGGUUGUGCAACUGUUAGGUGUAGUUUAUUUGGCAGUUUUUCUCAUCGAAUUGAAUUAAAAAAAUCGGGUUCGGGUAUUGUGCGGGUAUUGUUAAACGGGUUCGGGACGGAUUCAGAUAGUAAAAAUAAAAUAUUAAACGGAUUUGGGACGGAUUCGGAUUUUGUAAAUAUAAUCGGGUUCGGAUUUGGAUACCCUGAAUUUCGCGGGUACCCUACCCGUUGCCAUCCCUAGUUUUGAUUAAAUGAUUGAUAUUUUUUUUUUGGACGAAG
rnacentral:lncRNA from 1 species